CACACGACUCUCGGCAACGGAUAUCUCGGCUCUCGCAUCGAUGAAGAACGUAGCGAAAUGCGAUACCUGGUGUGAAUUGCAGAAUCCCGCGAACCAUCGAGUCUUUGAACGCAAGUUGCGCCCGAGUCCUUUUGGCCGAGGGCACGCCUGCCUGGGCGUCACGC
rnacentral:rRNA from 1 species